rnacentral:tRNA from 1 species
GGUGGCUCAGUGUUAGAGUGUUUGCCUUGCAUGCAUGAGGCCCUGGGUUCGAUUCCUCAGCACCA